AGUGAACGCUGGCGGUAGGCCUAACACAUGCAAGUCGAACGGCAGCACAGUAAGAGCUUGCUCUUACGGGUGGCGAGUGGCGGACGGGUGAGGAAUACAUCGGAAUCUACUUUUUCGGGGGGGAUAACGUAGGGAAACUUACGCUAAUACCGCAUACGACCUACGGGUGAAAGCAGGGGAUCUUCGGACCUUGCGCGGUUGAAUGAGCCGAUGUCGGAUUAGCUAGUUGGCGGGGUAAAGGCCCACCAAGGCGACGAUCCGUAGCUGGUCUGAGAGGAUGAUCAGCCACACUGGAACUGAGACACGGUCCAGACUCCUACGGGAGGCAGCAGUGGGGAAUAUUGGACAAUGGGCGCAAGCCUGAUCCAGCCAUACCGCGUGGGUGAAGAAGGCCUUCGGGUUGUAAAGCCCUUUUGUUGGGAAAGAAAAGCAGCAGGUUAAUACCCCGCUGUUCUGACGGUACCCAAAGAAUAAGCACCGGCUAACUUCGUG
rnacentral:rRNA from 1 species